AUGAUCCUAUGCUGCCGAGAAAAGCCUCUAGUGAGUGUUGUGGCGGCCCGUACCCUAAACCGACUCAGGUGGUCAGGUAGAGAAUACCAAGGCGAUCGGGUGAACUGUGGUUAAGGAACUCGGCAAAUUGCCCCCGUAACUUCGGGAGAAGGGGGACCUCUGCUGGUGAUGGGCUUUACGUUCUGAGCUGGUGGGGGUCGCAGUGGCCAGGGGGAAGCGACUGUUUACUAAAAACACAGGUCCGUGCGAAGUCGUAAGACGAUGUAUACGGACUGACGCCUGCCCGGUGCCGGAACGUUAAGGGGACCGCUUAGCCAGCUUCGGUUGGCGAAGGUGAGAACUUAAGCGCCGGUAAACGGCGGUGGUAACUAUAACCAUCCUAAGGUAGCGAAAUUCCUUGUCGGGUAAGUUCCGACCUGCACGAAUGGCGUAACGACUUCCCCGCUGUCUCAACCACAGACCCGGCGAAAUUGCACUACGAGUAAAGAUGCUCGUUUCGCGCAGCAGGACGGAAAGACCCCGGGACCUUCACUACAGCUUGACAUUGGCGUUUGGAACGUCUUGUGUAGGAUAGGUGGGAGACUGGGAAGCUGUCACGCUAGUGAUGGUGGAGUCAUUGGUGAAAUACCACUCUGGUCGUUUUGAACGUCUAACUCUGGUCCGUGAUCCGGAUCGGGGACAGUGUCUGGUGGGUAGUUUAACUGGGGCGGUUGCCUCCUAAAGAGUAACGGAGGCGCCCAAAGGUUCCCUCAGCCUGGUUGGCAAUCAGGUGUUGAGUGUAAGUGCACAAGGGAGCUUGACUGUGAGACUGACAGGUCGAGCAGGAGCGAAAGCUGGGACUAGUGAUCCGGCAUCGGCGUGUGGAAGCGGUGUCGCUCAACGGCUAAAAGGUACCCCGGGGAUAACAGGCUGAUCUUCCCCAAGAGUCCAUAUCGACGGGAUGGUUUGGCACCUCGAUGUCGGCUCGUCGCAUCCUGGGGCUGGAGUAGGUCCCAAGGGUUGGGCUGUUCGCCCAUUAAAGCGGUACGCGAGCUGGGUUUAGAACGUCGCGAGACAGUUCGGUCCCUAUCCGCUGCGCGCGCAGGAGACUUGAAGGGGGCUGUCCCUAGUACGAGAGGACCGGGACGGACGAACCUCUGGUGUGCCAGUUGUACCGCCAGGUGCACGGCUGGUUGGCUACGUUCGGAAGGGAUAACCGCUGAAAGCAUCUAAGCGGGAAGCUCGCCUUGAGAUGAGGUCUCCCACCACGAGAGUGGGUAAGGCUCCCGGUAGAUCACCGGGUUGAUAGGCCGGAGGUGGAAGCACGGUAACGUGUGGAGCUGACCGGUACUAAUAGGCCGAGGACUUGACCU
rnacentral:rRNA from 1 species